GUGUCUUUAUGUGCAAGUGACGACAGCCCGAGGACAUCGCCUCCUGCUGGACCGCCCGGGGUCAAGCCCCUAAGGCUUAAAGGCGACUCCAGGGGCUGCAGACAUCUGAUUCACACCCCACAGACCGCUGCAGCCGGCCCGUGCGGUACAGACCCUUAGGUGCACUCCCAGGGAAGGUCUUGCACUGGCCACGAGGCCGCACAGGGACACCUUCCUCUGAGGACGCCCCGGCCCUGUGGGCAGGCAUCCGGCCCAGAAGACGACACAGAGGUUCUGAGAGGACCCGUGCCCCCCGGCCCCCAGCCUCGUGGGGGAACAGAAGCCUUCCCACCCCCUGCUCUGUGCGCUGCAGAGAUGGAUAAACUGUGACGUUCCAGGAGCGUCAAAAGGCUCGGUGUCACGUGGACACAGGAUGGGGGAUUGUCACCCCCGGCAACGUCAAUUACAACGAAGGGAAAACAGCCGUUCACUGUCACGG
rnacentral:lncRNA from 1 species